UACGGGGGGAGCAAACGUUGUUCGGAAUCACUGGGCUUAAAGGGCGCGUAGGCGGCCGAUCAAGUCGGGGGUGAAAUCCUGCAGCUCAACUGCAGAAGUGCCUUCGAUACUGAUCGGCUCGAGGGAGGUAGGGGUGUGUGGAACUUCUGGUGGAGCGGUGAAAUGCGUUGAUAUCAGAAGGAACGCCGGUGGCGAAAGCGACGCACUGGACCUCAUCUGACGCUGAGGCGCGAAAGCCAGGGGAGCAAACGGG
rnacentral:rRNA from 1 species